AGCUUUGCGCAGUGGCAGUAUCGUAGCCAAUGAGGUUUAUCUGAGGCGCGAUUAUUGCUAAUUGAAGUUUGAGAAGCACUGGUUUUAAGAAAAGGUACAUUUUCUUCCACUAAUAAGUGAAAGAUGAACACCAAU